rnacentral:rRNA from 1 species
UACGUAGGGGGCAAGCGUUGUCCGGAUUUAUUGGGCGUAAAGAGCGUGUAGGCGGCCAGAUAGGUCGGUUGUGAAAACUGGAGGCUCAACCUCCAGACGUCGACCGAAACCAUCUGGCUAGAGUCCGGAAGAGGAGAGUGGAAUUCCUGGUGUAGCGGUGAAAUGCGCAGAUAUCAGGAAGAACACCCGUGGCGAAGGCGGCUCUCUGGGCCGGUACUGACGCUGAGGAGCGAAAGCGUGGGGAGCGAACAGG